CAACUACUCCCUCUGUCCCAAAUUUCUUGUCUUAGAUUUAUCUAGAUACGGAUGUAUCUAAUACUAAAAUGUGACUUGAUACAUCCAUAUCUAGACAAAUCUAAGACAAGAAUUUUGGGACGGAGGGAGUACUUU
rnacentral:pre_miRNA from 1 species